CAAUAGCGUCUAUUAAAGUUGUUGCGGUAAAAAAGCUCGUAGUUGGAUUUCUACCGAAGAUAGCCGGUCGGGUCUUCGACCUUGUAUCUGGUUUUGUCUUUGGUAUCCUCAUAGGGAACGUUUCUGCGCUUUAUUGCGUGGUGCGGUAUCUAUGACUUUUACUUUGAGGAAAUUAGAGUGUUCACGGCAGGCAAACGCCUUGAAUAUAUUAGCAUGGAAUAAUAACAUAGGAUCUUCGUCCUAUUUUGUUGGUUUCUAGGGCUAAGAUAAUGAUUAAUAGGGAUAAUUGGGGGCAUCUGUAUCAACGCGUCAGAGGUGGAAUUCUUGGAUUGCGUUGCGACAAACUACUGCGAAAGCAUUUGCCAAGGAUGUUUUCAUUGA
rnacentral:rRNA from 1 species